AUUGAACGCUGGCGGCAGGCUUGACACAUGCAAGUCGAGCGGAGAUGAGGUGCUUGCACCUUAUCUUAGCGGCGGACGGGUGAGUAAUGCUUAGGAAUCUGCCUAUUAGUGGGGGACAACAUUCCGAAAGGAAUGCUAAUACCGCAUACGUCCUACGGGAGAAAGCAGGGGAUCUUCGGACCUUGCGCUAAUAGAUGAGCCUAAGUCGGAUUAGCUAGUUGGUGGGGUAAAGGCCUACCAAGGCGACGAUCUGUAGCGGGUCUGAGAGGAUGAUCCGCCACACUGGGACUGAGACACGGACCAGACUCCUACGGGAGGCAGCAGUGGGGAAUAUUGGACAAUGGGGGGAACCUUGAUCCAGCCAUGCCGCGUGUGUGAAGAAGGCCUUAUGGUUGUAAAGCACUUUAAGCGAGGAGGAGGCUACUGAGACUAAUACUCUUGGAUAGUGGACGUUACUCGCAGAAUAAGCACCGGCUAACUCUGUGCCAGCAGCCGCAGUAAGAC
rnacentral:rRNA from 1 species